rnacentral:rRNA from 1 species
AGUGAACGCUGGCGGUAGGCCUAACACAUGCAAGUCGAACGGCAGCACAGUAAGAGCUUGCUCUUACGGGUGGCGAGUGGCGGACGGGUGAGGAAUACAUCGGAAUCUACUUUUUCGUGGGGGAUAACGUAGGGAAACUUACGCUAAUACCGCAUACUACCUACGGGUGAAAGCAGGGGAUCUUCGGACCUUGCGCGAUUGAAUGAGCCGAUGUCGGAUUAGCUAGUUGGCGGGGUAAAGGCCCACCAAGGCGACGAUCCGUAGCUGGUCUGAGAGGAUGAUCAGCCACACUGGAACUGAGACACGGUCCAGACUCCUACGGGAGGCAGCAGUGGGGAAUAUUGGACAAUGGGCGCAAGCCUGACCCAGCCAUACCGCGUGGGUGAAGAAGGCCUUCGGGUUGUAAAGCCCUUUUGUUGGGAAAGAAAAGCAGCAGGUUAAUACCCCGCUGUUCUGACGGUACCCAAAGAAUAAGCACCGGCUAACUUCGUG